AUGGCUCCCCUGCUCUUCAAGGACAUGAGGAGCCUCUCGUGCUCGUCGCCGGCGUCCACCGCCAUAUGCCCUAGCCUGGAGCGCCAGCCCAUCUUCCGCCCCCAGAAGGCCGGCGCCAGCCCGCUCUUCCAGGUCCCCGCCGAGCCCAGAGCCCACAGGCAGGACGGCAGGAAAGGGCAGCAGCAGCACCACCACCACCGGGCUGGCGUUGCCAAUGGCGAGCUCGCCAGCCCGGCCGGGUCGACAAGGUUCCUGCUCAGCGGCUGUGCCGCCGUCGACGAGAUCCAGGAGGUCGCCACGGUUGCGGCGGCGCCUCCGGCUGCUGCCCCGGGUGGUGAUGUCAGAAGGGAGGAGCCGGCUGCUGCUGAUGUGAAGAACACCAACACCAGCACGCAGGAGCAGGUGGUGGUGCUGAAGGUGUCCCUGCACUGCAAAGCGUGCGCCGGCAAGGUGAAGAAGCACCUCGCCAAGAUGGAAGGUGUUCGGACGUUCAGCAUCGACUUCGCGGCCAAGAAGGUGACGGUGGUGGGCGACGUGACCCCGCUCGGCGUGCUCGCCAGCGUCUCCAAGGUCAAGAACGCGCAGAUCUGGGCGGCGGCGCCGCCGCCGCAGCCCGCCAUGGCCGCCUAG
rnacentral:rRNA from 1 species